CACACGCACGUGUUAGGGGCCACGUGAAACCUCCAAGGACGCGCGCUGCACGGCCCUCAAAACUGUUGCGCCGCCCUUAUCGUAGUUCUGCAGAACCCCCUUUUAUCGUUCUUCGAUAAGAACGGGACAGAUACUAAAGGACGCCGUACUAACCAGCUGCGAAGACACUGCAAUCCUGGCAUGAACCAUGGCAGCCAUGAAAGUCAUUUUGCUCGUCACGUUCAUUGCGUCCAUUAUCGUGCUGACAGCAGCCAGAGCUCUGACCUCUCAUGAUGCGUCCGAGCAGGAUAACAGCAUCAUACGCGUAUUAGGACCACUGGUGUUAGCAGGAGGCGUUCCUUCUCCAGUGGAGCGUGUCUCGACAGAGCGAGUCAAGCAAGGUCUUCCUACCAGCAGGGUGUCACGGCAAGGGGAAUCAGUGCCCACAUCACAUCACAGAACGCACGUUAAAUUUGCAUGAAAAGAUUCAUCAUCGUAUACGUCAUCACAAACUUUGCGGGACGCCAUCACAUUGUUGUGUAGGAGAGUAUACACAUCUUUUACCUUUUUUAUUUUGUGUUGUACAGGAAAGGUCUAUGUACAGUUCUUUAUUGUAUGUGUUGCUUACGUGAAAUUCACGAUGAAACUAGUAUGGUUUUGACAAUCUUAAAGGGUACACUAAAAUGCAAAAACAACUUGUUCUCAAAUGAAAGUCCGUGUUUCAAUUAGUGUAAUGCAAGCAAAAUUAGUUCACACAGCGCUACCGUUUAGAAAAAGAAAAAAAAAGAUCCCCUGGAGGCAAAGAUCGGCGGCAUCCAAUGAGACAACAGGAUAAGCGCUCGCAUAUACCUUCGUGGGCGUGUUGAUUUGGAACGGGUCCGAUCGUAUAGUGUUCCGUAUAUGUAUGCGCGGCAUUAUGCGCACUGCUGCAUUUUUCAAUACCGAUUCACUGAAUUGUAGUCAACAACAGUUCUCGUGAGUGUUGCACUGACAACAUUUAUCUUCACGCCCAUCGGACAGCGACGCGCACUAUGUUUUUUUCACCGGGACUACUCCAUGGCGUGCACGCGCAGCACGGACAAAAAAACAACGAUGCACGCGCUGAAACGACGUUCACUGCGUAGCGCCGAAGCAAGAAAGAGUCCGAUAUAAUUUCCAUUCUAGCUCCGUAACGGAAUCAAAGUUUUGAAUUAUGGUAACAAAUAGGAAAAUUAACAUAGCGUGUAACGUAAUUUCAAGUGAACUUGUUUUUCCAUUUUAGUGCCCCUUUAAAGCUUUAUUAUUACUGUUUGUAUGGUUGCGGAGCAGUUACUGCACAGGAGGAACUCAUUGUAGUGUACAGCAUGUGUGUUUCUGCAGAGCUUGCUUUGUUCCUCUGGUGACAACGUUGUGUAUUAAAUGGCCUACUCCUCAAUAAUGCAAUGUGCUGUUGGACACCGUAGUUAACAUGUAGAAUUCUGUGGCUGACGGAUUAAGAACAAGAAAGUCGAACGUUUUACGUUCGGACAGGAUGUAGUGACUCGUGCACGGUUUCGGAUCAAGCUUUGCUGCCAAUAAUAAAUAUUACAAAUUAUAACAAUAUUACAAAAAUUAUAAUAAUUACAAGAAUACACUGCAUGAUUGCAUUUUGUAACUUAUAAAUAAAAUAUGAUAUAAAAUAAA